rnacentral:rRNA from 1 species
AGUGAACGCUGGCGGUAGGCCUAACACAUGCAAGUCGAACGGCAGCACAGUAAGAGCUUGCUCUUACGGGUGGCGAGUGGCGGACGGGUGAGGAAUACAUCGGAAUCUACUUUUUCGUGGGGGAUAACGUAGGGAAACUUACGCUAAUACCGCAUACGACCUACGGGUGAAAGCAGGGGAUCUUCGGACCUUGCGCGAUUGAAUGAGCCGAUGUCGGAGUAGCUAGUUGGCGGGGUAAAGGCCCACCAAGGCGACGAUCCGUAGCUGGUCUGAGAGGAUGAUCAGCCACACUGGAACUGAGGCACGGUCCACACUCCUACGGGGGGCAGCAGUGGGGAAUAUUGGACAAUGGGCGCAAGCCUGAUCCAGCCAUACCGCGUGGGUGAAGAAGGCCUUCGGGUUGUAAAGCCCUUUUGUUGGGAAAGAAAAGCAGCAGGUUAAUACCCCGCUGUUCUGACGGUACCCAAAGAAUAAGCACCGGCUAACUUCGUG